CGAAGAAUGACCUCGUGGACAUACGAACCCUGGCCAAUCAGCGCUCGUAUCGCUACCAAAAAUUGAAAUUUUCAAGCGUGACAUUACGAAAAUCUUCACUUCACUUCAGUACUUUGAUUUGAAGAGUGACAUUACAAAAUUACGAAAAUCUUCACACCUUUCAUUUGAUUACUUCACUUCACUUCACUUCUUACCAACAUUUCCGAGCGCCUACUUCCGGGGUAUGGAGCCUCGAAUAGUUCCAAACAACCAUUUUACGGCGUAGGAGACCAUUCAUUUCCAUUGCUGGCCGCCGAGUAACUUCUGAGACGACCGAUUGCCUGCUGGUUUGUGAGCUCGACUUCGCCAUGUGAAGGGUGAUGUUCAGCACAUGAAGCCCUACAGAUGCCGCCGCUUCAACAAUGCUGAUUAUGAUGGGCGGUGAAUUUAACCUGUAUGGCUUUUUCGUUUUAACUUCUUGUUGACUGUUUCUCUGUUAUAUGUAUUUUGCCUUUGCAUUUGCAACUACUGUCAUCUCCAAUGUAAGAAAAUCAAUUAAAGCGAAUCAUUUCUGUAAUGUGAAUUAAAUCAUCUGUCACAAUCCGAAACCAAUAAAAUGUAUAAAUGGAUCUACUGGCAAUUGUUAAUUGGGUAGAAAUGUGUCGAUUAUCUACAUUGUUUGCAAAUCCUCAGAGAAUCCCUGACCUCUGGUUGUUUUUUAAACUGAAUGUACAAACAUGAAUUAUGUAAUCUCAUUAGGAGUGUAGUCUAUCCUUGUAUUACAUGAAAUGGGGAAUAUUGUUAGCUGCAUGGAUCAUACCGAAGUUUAAUUUGGUGAAAUAUGUGUGGUCCGUUGCACUUGGUUCUGGAGGCACCCUCACAGAAGGGGGUUUCCUCCUCUUCGGCUUAGGGCGAUGAAUGAAAACUCUUCAACAUCCCUUCUCUUUUUGUGGCAGUGAAUUGGUCAUCUUCAAAGUGUACCUUUAUAGGUAGGCUUGUAAGAUCAGUUUCCAUUGCACUUCAAAUAUCAUUGAAAAGUCAUAAUUCUCUACACUUAGAAUUAUUAUGCCCUUUGAAAUGCUAUCAAGUGAUGUGAACAUUACUUGCAUUACAUCGUUUUUGACGGUUGUUGACCCCUGUCACUUGUACGUUUUGACGGCUGACCAUUGCCAUCCAUUUCUUCCUGCGCUCUUGGUCCUUGGGGAAGCCAUACAUGUGGUAACCCUUCUCGGACCGAUUGGAGCAUCCAAACGCUGCACAGCCAACCAUGGUAUUACCAUUGAUCUAAACCAAUUUUGAAUUUGCUCAGGGCUAUUAUAAGUAUUGUAAUGGCAUAAAGUAUAGUAUAUUUGCUACGUUAUAUGUUAAUGGUUUGCCCUAAGUAUAUUAUAUAGUGUUCCCUGCUGUGUCCAUUGUUGAAUCUGUUCACACAAUCACUCACUGGUCUUGUCACACUAAUUGUUUAAUAAAAAAAAAACUUUCAUUCAUCUAAGCG
ensembl:lncRNA